rnacentral:lncRNA from 1 species
CGGCGAAGGGGUGCGGCCGAAGGCCCCGCCCUCUCCUGCGUUGGGUCGUUUCUGGGAGUGCGCUGCGAACGCUGGGUCUUGGAGGUGGUGGCCUCCGCGGCGCUUGUGUUGGGGAAAUGGAGUCACUGAAAGGGUAAGGCAACAGGCCAGAUUUAAGAGGGACAUCUACAUCAGAGCAAGGACCAGAAUGUGUGAUUUCUAGAUGCAUCUUAGGGAAAUUAUGUACAACUGUGCCAUGGUAGACAGGCAGGCCAUCGCUCUUUGCAGAAGCCUGGCCCUGUGUGCCCGGUGGGGAGGCGGUCCAGCAUGAUGACUGAAAGCACAGACACUGGGUGCUUUCCGGCCGCCUGGGCUCAGACCCUGGCUCCAUCAUUUAUUAGCUAGACUGUUGCUGUUGUCAUUGUCAUUCUUGCUGCUGCCAGCCUUUGCAUGGGCACCUGAAAGAAGCCCUGGGGAAAACUGUUUCUCAGAAAGUGAACAGAAUCUCCCCUGGACCUCCGUCGUCUCAUUGAUGAGACAAAUCCUGAUCCAGGAAAACUUCCGCCUUUUUCUGAUGGCGAAUUUCAUCCAAGCCUUCCAUUGACCUUUCUUCAGUAACUUCAUGGUGAUCUUCGCAGAUAAUCUUGUUCCUGAGGGUGUUCUUCCUUCUUCCAUAAGGAGCAUUGAAGACAGGGCAGGCUGUAUAUGCCCACAGUUAUGUGAUGAUUCUUCGUGUAUCUUCCUACAAGGAUUAAAGAUUUGACUCUUACCUGGCUGAGGAAAUUAAAAACCUGAUUGUAUCAGUAGUUUGAAAAAAUGACACGCAUUUAUUAAGAAAUCCAAAGAUUCAUAGCCUCAGACAUUAUACAAGAUUCAGUAGAAACAUAAUGGAUACAAGAGAUGAAAGGAAAAAGAGGAAGGAGAGGCCAAUGAGGGCUGAACGAUGUGAUAAUUAAACAUUUUAUCUUUUGAAUUUUGUCCCCCUGAGCUUUCUCAUUUAAGCCUCAGCAGAGCUGUGGAAGAAAAUAAAUGGCUUCCUGUGAGCAUGUGGUUUUGCUUUACCUGGGUGUUUAAGAUUCCUGUGACUGUUACAAGGAAGAAGAGUGGCUUGAUCAAGAAUUUGUGAAGCCAGAUUUCAAAACGCUUGGCUGAACGACUGAGUCCUGGAAUUCCAGAGCAUUGUUAAAAUUCCAUGGUCAUGACCACUACUGUAGAGAGCAUGUCCUCCUCCAAAAAAUGUAUCGGCCUGCUGUUUAUUGCACCAUUUGGAGAUUUGAUAAAUCAAAUUGUUCCCCUUAACCUAAAUAUAUCCUCCAAAAAUAUGGCUUAAGCUAGGGCCAGCCCGGUGGUGUAGCAGUUAAGUUCACGUGCUUCAUUCUGACGGCCUCCGGUUUCCUGGUUCAGAUCCCAGGUGCAGACCUAGCACCGCUUAUCAAGCCAUGCUGGAGCAGGCGUCCCACAUAUAAAGUCGAGGAAGAUGGG